rnacentral:tRNA from 1 species
GGUUGCUUAGAUCAGCUGGUUAGAUCGUCGUGCUAAUACCCUGUGGAAAACACGAAGGUCGUGGGUUCAAGCCCCAUAGUGACCA